rnacentral:rRNA from 1 species
AUGUCUAGGGNNUCUGAGAGAAGGUCCCCCACACUGGUACUGAGACACGGACCAGACUCCUACGGGAGGCAGCAGUGAGGAAUAUUGGUCAAUGGGCGAAGGCUGAACCAGCCAUGUCGCGUGAAGGAAGACGGUUCUAUGGAUUGUAAACUUCUUUUGUACGGGAAUAAUGUGACCCA